rnacentral:rRNA from 1 species
GUUGAACGCUGGCGGCGUGCCUAACACAUGCAAGUCGAGCGAAUGAAUGGGGCUUUCUCCUGUAUUCAGCUGCGGACGGGUGAGUAAGUCCUAGGAAGCUGCCUUAUAUUUGGGGCUAAGAUCCCUACACGGGAGCGAAUACCACAUACGUCCUGAUGUUGAACGUGGGGGAUCUUCGGACAUCACGCGAUCAGAUGAGCCUAGGUCGUAUUAGCUAGUUGGUGGGGUAACGGCCUACCAAGGCGACGAUCCGCAACUGGGCUGAGAGGAUGAUCAGUCACACUGGAACUGAGACACGGUCCAGACUCCUACGGGAGGCAGCAGUGGGGAAUCUUCGACAAUGGGCGAAAGCCUGACCCAGCCACGCCGCGUGUGUGAUGAAGGUCUUCGGAUCGUAAAGCUCUUUAAGUUGGGAGGAACGGAAGUAAGUUAAUCCAUUCCCGUCUUGACGGUACCAAAACAGUAAGCAACGGCUAACUUCGUG